UCCAUUUUCGAAAUGGUCUUGAAUGAAAGAAAAAGCUAGAUAAAAUGAUGAAAUCAAAUCCUAGUUCAGUUACUGAGGAGCGGUGAUAUGGAGGUGCUGCAUAUACUGAGUCCUCGAAGGUAUCGUCACCAAAACUCGUAAACCAACCAUGAUAUGAUAUCUCUACUACUAUAACUAUACCAUAAUCAAUGUUGCUUCUUCUACUCCAUACACAUUAACGAAAUUUGCAACUUUCAACAAACCAUGCUACUCACGUGUCACCACCACCCUUUCUUACUCAGCGCAACCACCACUAACAGAAACCACAACCUCUCACUCGCCCUCUCCAUCAUAACCUCGCGCCCCCUCUACCUCACCACCCCAAACCUUAAACUUACCGCUCAUCGCUUCAAUUCUCUCACAGUCAGCGCCGACUCCUUUCCCCUCCGAUUCCAACAUGUCACUGCCGAUUCCAAUUUUGACUCUCUCCUUUCUUUCCUCGAGUUCUCUUGCCUCCUCUCUUCCGCCGUCGCUUCCUCCGCUGCCACCGUAGUUGCGGCUUCCAAAAACGACCUACUGGCCGGGAUCGGCACCAGAGCCGCUCCGUUUGGCGUCACGAUGCUUGUGAUCGGGGUUUUGAUCGGCGUUUGGAUUCGGAGGCGCCAGUGGAGGCGCGUUUGUGUGGAGAACGGGAAGGGUGGGUUGGAGGUUAACUUUCUCCAGAGGAUUGAGAAAUUGGAGGAGGAUUUGAAAAGUUCCCUGACGGUUGUGAGGGUUUUGUCAAGACAGCUCGAGAAAUUAGGGAUUAGGUUUAGGGUUACGAGAAAGGCCUUGAAGGAUCCCAUAGCUGAGCUGCCCUUGCAGUUGCUGUCAACCGUGUCAGUUCUUCAUUGUCAUCCCCCAAGGAGAUCUCAUCUUCAACACAUUCAUCAAUAUCCGUUGAUGACUGCAGCUUUGGCCCAGAAGAAUUCUGAGGCUGCUAGAGCAUUAGCAGUGCAAUCAGACAUUUUAGAGCAGGAACUUGGUGAAAUUCAACACGUUUUAUUAGCAAUGCAGGAACAACAGCGAAAACAACUUGAUCUGAUUCUUGCAAUCGGGAAGGCUGGUAAGCUAUGGGAAAGCAAGCCCGAAAUCAGUGAUCGACAAGAUACAUUAGAAAUGUCAAACUCGGCUGAGGGUGUGGUAAAACAGGAGGUGCAUCAAAUAUGAUUGGGUUAAAAUAGGAGGAAGUUCCUGAAAUUUUGAAGUGGCAAAUCAUGGUGAAAUAUUAAUACCUCAAAUUUGCUGUGGAUACAGGUGAGAGGAGAUUACUCGAGAGGUAAGACAUACUAAGGUAGGAGCAUUUGUUGAACUCUGUCCAGUUCUGUUAGGAAAGAUCCGCUGGUUCUUCGUGUCUGUGCAUGUACUUUGAAAUCAAAUUUAUAAGCUGUUCAUCAAUUUUGUUUUUAAAUGCUUAUAUUGGUGGUAUAAGGGUUCGGUACAACAGUUUUUGUCCCUUGCAUGUUUCUGUGUCAUAUAUUGAAAUGAACCUUCAGUAUUCGUUCAUAA